rnacentral:rRNA from 1 species
GAUCCUGGCUCAGGACGAACGCUGGCGGCGUGCUUAACACAUGCAAGUCGAACGAGAAUCUGCGGAACGAGGAUUCGUCCAAGUGAAGCAGAGGACAGUGGCGGACGGGUGAGUAACGCGUGAGGAACCUGCCUUUCAGAGGGGGACAACAGUUGGAAACGACUGCUAAUACCGCAUGACACAUAAGUGUCGCAUGGCAUUUAUGUCAAAGAUUUAUCG